AAAGGUAAGCUACUAAGAGCGAAUGGUGGAUGCCUUGACUGGUAAAGGCGAUGAAGGACGUACUAGACUGCGAUAAGCUACGGGGAGCUGUCAAGAAGCUUUGAUCCGUAGAUUUCCGAAUGGGGCAACCCAAUGUAUAGAGAUAUACAUUACCUAUAUAGGAGCGAACGAGGGGAAUUGAAACAUCUUAGUACCCUCAGGAAAAGAAAUCAAUAGAGAUUGUGUCAGUAGCGGCGAGCGAAAGCGCAAGAGGGCAAACCCAGUGCUUGCACUGGGGGUUGUAGGACUGCAAUGUGCAAGAGCUGAGUUUAGCAGAACAUUCUGGAAAGUAUAGCCAUAGAGGGUGAUAGUCCCGUAUGCGAAAAACAAAGCUUAGCUAGCAGUAUCCUGAGUAGGGCGGGACACGAGGAAUCCUGUCUGAAUCCGGGUCGACCACGAUCCAACCCUAAAUACUAAUACCAGAUCGAUAGUGCACAAGUACCGUGAGGGAAAGGUGAAAAGAACUGAGGUGAUCAGAGUGAAAUAGAACCUGAAACCAUUUGCUUACAAUCAUUCAGAGCACUAUGUAGCAAUACAG
rnacentral:rRNA from 1 species